rnacentral:rRNA from 1 species
UAACUUCGGGAAACCGGAGCUAAUACCGGAUAAUAUUUUGAACCGCAUGGUUCAAAAGUGAAAGACGGUCUUGCUGUCACUUAUAGAUGGAUCCGCGCUGCAUUAGCUAGUUGGUAAGGUAACGGCUUACCAAGGCAACGAUGCAUAGCCGACCUGAGAGGGUGAUCGGCCACACUGGAACUGAGACACGGUCCAGACUCCUACGGGAGGCAGCAGUAGGGAAUCUUCCGCAAUGGGCGAAAGCCUGACGGAGCAACGCCGCGUGAGUGAUGAAGGUCUUCGGAUCGUAAAACUCUGUUAUUAGGGAAGAACAUAUGUGUAAGUAACUGUGCACAUCUUGACGGUACCUAAUCAGAAAGCCACGGCUAACUACGUGCCAGCAGCCGCGGUAAUACGUAGGUGGCAAGCGUUAUCCGGAAUUAUUGGGCGUAAAGCGCGCGUAGGCGGUUUUUUAAGUCUGAUGUGAAAGCCCACGGCUCAACCGUGGAGGGUCAUUGGAAACUGGAAAACUUGAGUGCAGAAGAGGAAAGUGGAAUUCCAUGUGUAGCGGUGAAAUGCGCAGAGAUAUGGAGGAACACCAGUGGCGAAGGCGACUUUCUGGUCUGUAACUGACGCUGAUGUGCGAAAGCGUGGGGAUCAAACAGGAUUAGAUACCCUGGUAGUCCACGCCGUAAACGAUGAGUGCUAAGUGUUAGGGGGUUUCCGCCCCUUAGUGCUGCAGCUAACGCAUUAAGCACUCCGCCUGGGGAGUACGACCGCAAGGUUGAAACUCAAAGGAAUUGACGGGGACCCGCACAAGCGGUGGAGCAUGUGGUUUAAUUCGAAGCAACGCGAAGAACCUUACCAAAUCUUGACAUCCUUUGACAACUCUAGAGAUAGAGCCUUCCCCUUCGGGGGACAAAGUGACAGGUGGUGCAUGGUUGUCGUCAGCUCGUGUCGUGAGAUGUUGGGUUAAGUCCCGCAACGAGCGCAACCCUUAAGCUUAGUUGCCAUCAUUAAGUUGGGCACUCUAAGUUGACUGCCGGUGACAAACCGGAGGAAGGUGGGGAUGACGUCAAAUCAUCAUGCCCCUUAUGAUUUGGGCUACACACGUGCUACAAUGGACAAUACAA